CCUACGGGAGGCAGCAGUGGGGAAUAUUGGGCAAUGGGCGCAAGCCUGACCCAGCAACGCCGCGUGAAGGAAGAAGGCUCUCGGGUUGUAAACUUCUUUUAUCAGGGACGAAGCAAGUGACGGUACCUGAUGAAUAAGCCACGGCUAACUACGUGCCAGCAGCCGCGGUAAUACGUAGGUGGCAAGCGUUAUCCGGAUUUACUGGGUGUAAAGGGCGUGUAGGCGGGAAAGCAAGUCAGAUGUGAAAACCAUGGGCUCAACCUGUGGCCUGCAUUUGAAACUGUUUUUCUUGAGUACUGGAGAGGCAGACGGAAUUCCUAGUGUAGCGGUGAAAUGCGUAGAUAUUAGGAGGAACACCAGUGGCGAAGGCGGUCUGCUGGACAGCAACUGACGCUGAGGCGCGAAAGCGUGGGGAGCAAACAGGAUUAGAUA
rnacentral:rRNA from 1 species